rnacentral:rRNA from 1 species
AAAUUGAAGAGUUUGAUCAUGGCUCAGAUUGAACGCUGGCGGCAGGCCUAACACAUGCAAGUCGAGCGGUAGCACAGAGAGCUUGCUCUCGGGUGACGAGCGGCGGACGGGUGAGUAAUGUCUGGGAAACUGCCUGAUGGAGGGGGAUAACUACUGGAAACGGUAGCUAAUACCGCAUAACGUCGCAAGACCAAAGUGGGGGACCUUCGGGCCUCAUGCCAUCAGAUGUGCCCAGAUGGGAUUAGCUAGUAGGUGGGGUAACGGCUCACCUAGGCGACGAUCCCUAGCUGGUCUGAGAGGAUGACCAGCCACACUGGAACUGAGACACGGUCCAGACUCCUACGGGAGGCAGCAGUGGGGAAUAUUGCACAAUGGGCGCAAGCCUGAUGCAGCCAUGCCGCGUGUGUGAAGAAGGCCUUCGGGUUGUAAAGCACUUUCAGCGGGGAGGAAGGCGUUAAGGUUAAUAACCUUGGCGAUUGACGUUACCCGCAGAAGAAGCACCGGCUAACUCCGUGCCAGCAGCCGCGGUAAUACGGAGGGUGCAAGCGUUAAUCGGAAUUACUGGGCGUAAAGCGCACGCAGGCGGUCUGUCAAGUCGGAUGUGAAAUCCCCGGGCUCAACCUGGGAACUGCAUUCGAAACUGGCAGGCUAGAGUCUUGUAGAGGGGGGUAGAAUUCCAGGUGUAGCGGUGAAAUGCGUAGAGAUCUGGAGGAAUACCGGUGGCGAAGGCGGCCCCCUGGACAAAGACUGACGCUCAGGUGCGAAAGCGUGGGGAGCAAACAGGAUUAGAUACCCUGGUAGUCCACGCCGUAAACGAUGUCGAUUUGGAGGUUGUGCCCUUGAGGCGUGGCUUCCGGAGCUAACGCGUUAAAUCGACCGCCUGGGGAGUACGGCCGCAAGGUUAAAACUCAAAUGAAUUGACGGGGGCCCGCACAAGCGGUGGAGCAUGUGGUUUAAUUCGAUGCAACGCGAAGAACCUUACCUGGUCUUGACAUCCACAGAACUUAGCAGAGAUGCUUUGGUGCCUUCGGGAACUGUGAGACAGGUGCUGCAUGGCUGUCGUCAGCUCGUGUUGUGAAAUGUUGGGUUAAGUCCCGCAACGAGCGCAACCCUUAUCCUUUGUUGCCAGCGGUCCGGCCGGGAACUCAAAGGAGACUGCCAGUGAUAAACUGGAGGAAGGUGGGGAUGACGUCAAGUCAUCAUGGCCCUUACGACCAGGGCUACACACGUGCUACAAUGGCAUAUACAAAGAGAAGCGACCUCGCGAGAGCAAGCGGACCUCAUAAAGUAUGUCGUAGUCCGGAUUGGAGUCUGCAACUCGAC